CAUCUUUAGUUGCCAGCAGUUAUGCUGGGCACUCUAGAGAAACUGCCCGUGAUAAGCGGGAGGAAGGUGUGGAUGACGUCAAGUCCUCAUGGCCCUUACGGGUUGGGCUACACACGUGCUACAAUGGCAGUGACAAUGGGUUAAUCCCAAAAAGCUGUCUCAGUUCGGAUUGGGGUCUGCAACUCGACCCCAUGAAGUCGGAAUCGCUAGUAAUCGCGUAACAGCAUGACGCGGAGAAUACGUUC
rnacentral:rRNA from 1 species